rnacentral:tRNA from 1 species
AAGUAAAAAGUGAUUAUCACAGUCAGUUUCGACCUGACCCUAGGUAUAAAAUUACCUUUACUUG